AUGGAUCUGUGUUCAGUUGGAGUCCAGCUUCGUACCACACACGACUGCCAUAAAACCUUUUAUACUCAGCACACAGAUUUCAAAACAUUGAAAGAGUUGUCAUCAAAAAUGACAGGUUUUGCUUCAGCUUAGAGCUGGAAUGGCACUUUCUGGGAAUAAUACAAUUUGUCUCCAUCAAGUAAAAAUGUAUAUUGACAGGUUUGAAGAGUUGCAGAAGUCAUUUGUGACCCGUUUAACUUACACAAGAAGUUAGCUCAAAAGAAUCUGCAUGUAAUUGACUCAGAUGAUGCCACUUUUAUGAUCACAAAGUUUGGGAGACAGCUUGUACCUGGUUGAAAGCUUUACCCAAAAUGUACUCAGAUCACGAAUGGAAGUGUGGAUGUUGAUUCAGAUGACCACCAGAGAUGGAAACCCGAGUCAGAUGGAAGGACUGCUAAAGCUCUGAGGUCACUACAGCUUACAAACCCAGGAAAGCAAACUGAAUUUGCUUCAGAAAGUGGUUAAAGUGAGAAAAGAAAGCUCACCAAAAAUUCAUGUGCUGCUUCCAACAGACAAAUUAUUCCAGCAAAGAGUAAGGUGUAUGACUUCCAGGGCCUGCUGAUUUUCAGUGACAUGAACAUCUGUGACUUCCUGGUUGAGGACUGCUUGGGAUGCUUCUAUGCCUGCCCCAUUUGUGGCUCUACCAAAUGUGGUGCCAAGUGCCACUGGGACUGCAAGUGUCUAUAUAAGCAGAUAGAGUUUGAAGAAGGAGAGAUAAUCCAUAAUAAAUAUGAUGGGAAAGCAUAUGGCCUGUUAUCUCCCUGUCAGCUAUAUGAUAUUUUACAAAAAUGA